CAAAACAGCUAUGGGUCAAGUCCGAUAUCUUUAGGAGAAGUCUUAUUGUGAGGGCGAGUUAUAUAACACCAUAGGACUGGCCGUCCCAUAUGAAAAGAUUAUAUUAGAAUUGAAUGAAGCUUUGUUUAUAUAUUGAUAAUGACAGUAUAUAUAUCGUGUCUUGACUAAUUGCGUGCCAGCAGUCGCGGUAAUACGUAAGAGACUAGUGUUAUUCAUCUUAAUUAGGUUUAAAGGGUACCCAGACGGUCAAUAUAGCUUAUAAAAUGUUAGUACUUGACUAGAGUUUUAUGUAAGAGGGCAGUACUUGAGGAGGAGAGAUGAAAUUUCGUGAUACCAAAGGGACUCUGUAAAGGCGAAGGCAGCCCUCUAUGUAAAAACUGACGUUGAAGGACGAAGGCACAGAGAACAAACAGGAUUAGAUACCCAAGUAGUCUUUGCAGUAAAUGAUGAAUGCCAUAGGUUAGAUUGAUCAAUUAUAGUCUAGGGUUAGUCUAGCAAACUAAUGCCCUAUGAUAUAAUUCAAAAUAUCUGGUCUAUAAAUGAAAGUGUAAGCAUUUCACCUCAAGAGA
rnacentral:rRNA from 1 species